GACGAACGCUGGCGGCGUGCUUAACACAUGCAAGUCGAACGGAAAGGCCCUGCUUUUGUGGGGUGCCCGAGUGGCGAACGGGUGAGUAACACGUGUGUAUCCUGCUCUUGACUUUGGGAUAACUUCAGGAAACUGGGGCUAAUAUCGGAUAGGAGCUCCUGUUGCAUGGUGGGGGUUGGAAAGUCUCGGCGGGUGCGGUUGGAUGGGCGGCUUAUCAGUUUGUUGGUGGGGUAGUGGCUUACCAAGGCAUUGAAGGAUCGCCGGCAUGAGAGGGUGACCGGCGACAAGAGGACUAAGAUACGGACCAGACGGGAACGGUAGACAACGGGGGGAAAUAUUACACAAUGGGCGGAAGUGUGAUACAGAAACGCCGCGUGCGGAAAGACGGCUUUCGGGUUAAGAACCGCUGUCGCCUGUGACGAAGCGGGAGUGACGGUAAUGAAUAAAGAAGCACCGGCUAACUACGUG
rnacentral:rRNA from 1 species